UAGAAUCACAAUCUUAUUAAUUGCCUU
rnacentral:piRNA from 1 species